rnacentral:rRNA from 1 species
GACAGAGGCCCCAAGCGUUAGGCGGAAUCACUAGGCUUAAAGCGUGUGUAGGCGGAUCGUUAAGUGUCUUGUGAAAUCCCACGGCUCACCCGUGGAACUGCUGGGCAUACUGGGCGUCUUGGGCCAACUAGGGGCAGCCGGAACAAGCGGUGGAGCGGUGAAAUGCGUAGAUAUCGCUUGGAACGCCGAAGGUGAAAACAGGCUGCUGGGGUUGCGCCGACGCUGAGACACGAAAGCCAGGGGAGCAAACGGG